GGAGGAGGGGCUUGGAAAAGUCGGGGGGGGGGGGGACUAAGCCUAUUCUGACUUUUGACAUCAAACGAUCAACGGAACACAAGCUGGCAGGGAAGAAUUGACGAAAAAAGUGUUUAAUAGAGAAAAUGCAACUAAUUAUCCAGUCAAAUGGCCGUAUGAAAAUAAGAAUUUGAAGGAUACAUCUAUGUCUACUACUUUGUAGGAACUGCUUUGUAGGAACUGCUUUGUUCUUACAAGCUCGGAAUAUCGGCUCGACUUCUUCACCUGGUGCGGUGGUUGAAAACUUUAUAGUUUAAGGAAAAGGCUACAAAACCAGCUACAAAACCAGCAGCAUUUAUCAGAGAAUUGUCGAGGCUCUGCACUACUAUUCUCAUUAUGAUGUUACAGAGCAAAAAAAAAAAAAAAAGCUUUAUUUAUGAUAGCUAAAAUACGGAAUUGUUCUCCUAAACGAGCGAACACCACAAGGCAAACAACAUGGACAGUCAAGGUGGACUGUUAAUAUCCAAAAGCCAUGAUGUGCGACUGUAUGAAGACAUGGAUGAUGAGCAGCAUAUUUUAGCAAGAUAUUUAGCUUUCCUUUCUUCCCUUUAAAAUAUGUUUUUCCUUUUCAAUCAAUCUGCAUUCUUCCCCUGGGAAAAAUACUUUUGAUGUUUGGUUGAUAUUGCCCUAAAAUUUUAGCAAUUAAAAAAAAACAAAUCUG